AUAGCUUCGUUUCCGUAACGAGGAGGGGCUGGGGGGGGGCGCGGCCCUGGCGGAGGCAGCUGAGGCGCACCCCUCCCUGGAGUGGGCUUUGGAGGGGGCGGCUGCGGACUCACAGGGCGCCCAGGGGUCGGAGGCAUCCCGUGAGGGAU
rnacentral:sRNA from 12 species